AUGGGAAACUUCAAGAUAGCGUAUGUUGUUAUUGUGCAGAUUCAUGUGUAUAAGUUUACAAUAGCCUUGCGCCUUGCCUACAUUAUCUUCAGAACAAUGGUGUUGUUUCGCCAAGAUGUUGUUAGGGUGUUAAAGGCUAAAACCAUUGUUGAAUUCCGUGCAACUUAUGAUUGCUUGAAGUCGGCUAUUGCUGCUAUCAAAGGAAUCAAUGGGGACUAUGCUACUGCACUCGCUUAA